rnacentral:rRNA from 1 species
UACAGAGGUCUCAAGCGUUGUUCGGAUUCAUUGGGCGUAAAGGGUGUGUAGGCGGCUUCACAGGUCCGCUGUGAAAACUCGAGGCUCAACCUCGAGCUGUCGGUGGAAACCGUGUGGCUAGAGUCCGGAAGAGGAGAGUGGAAUUCCUGGUGUAGCGGUGAAAUGCGCAGAUAUCAGGAAGAACACCCGUGGCUAAGGCGGCUCUCUAGUACGGUACUGACGCUGAGACGCGAAAGCGUGGGGAGCGAACAGG